rnacentral:rRNA from 1 species
UGGCGAACGGGUGAGUAACACGUGGGUGAUCUGCCCUGCACUUCGGGAUAAGCCUGGGAAACUGGGUCUAAUACCGGAUAGGACGAUGGUUUGGAUGCCAUUGUGGAAAGUUUUUCGGUGUGGGAUGAGCUCGCGGCCUAUCAGCUUGUUGGUGGGGUAAUGGCCUACCAAGGCGUCGACGGGUAGCCGGCCUGAGAGGGUGUACGGCCACAUUGGGACUGAGAUACGGCCCAG